rnacentral:piRNA from 1 species
UACUUAGAAACUAUAGGCCAGUAAGAGAC